UACAGAGGUGGCAAGCGUUGUUCGGAAUUACUGGGCGUAAAGGGCGCGUAGGCGGUUGCCUAAGUCGGACGUGAAAUCCCCGAGCUUAACUUGGGAACUGCAUCUGAUACUGGGUGACUUGAGUUCGGGAGAGGAAUGUGGAAUUCCAGGUGUAGCGGUGAAAUGCGUAGAUAUCAGGAAGAACACCGGUGGCGAAGGCGGCUCGCUGGGCCAGUUCUGACGCUCAGCCGCGAAAGCGUGGGGAGCAAACAGG
rnacentral:rRNA from 1 species